AUGGCAGCAACUUACCCUAUGCCUGAUCCACCGGUGCUGAACAACUAUGCUAUUACUCAAAGACUCGACAACUCUGCUACCGAGACAGCCGGCAGAGACAAGUCCAUAGGCUACCUGGACAUCUUCGUCCACCAGGCGCGCGACAUCCACAAUGUUUGCAUCUACCAGAAGCAGGACGUGUAUGCAAAACUGAGCCUCACAAGCGACCCACAGGUGUCGUGCUCGACCAAGGUGAUCAAUGGGGGUGGCCAGAACCCGGUGUUCGACGAGGGUCUACGGCUAGACGUGCGCAGCGUGGAGGCGUCGCUGAGGUGCGAGGUGUGGAUGCUGAGCAGGGUGAAGAACUACCUGGAGGACCAGCUUCUCGGCUUCACCCUCGUUCCUCUGUCAGACAUCCUUCUGGCCGAUGGAAAUCUGGCCCAGGAGUUCUCCAUGUCGUCCUCCGACCUGCUCCACUCGCCGGCAGGGUUUGUGCACCUGUCCCUGUCUUACGUCGGUAGCUCUCCGGAUGUCAUCGAGAUCUCAUCGCUCAAUAAGUCGGCGUCGGCGGUCACCGACUGUGGAAAUGGCAGCUUGGAUCCUUGUGAGAUCGAAAAGAUGGAGUUCCCAGACUUGAACAUGGUGAACGAGAAUGAAAUGAUGGUCUCCAAGUAUUUCGAGAUGGACUGUGGGAGUGCAGUGAAGGCUGAGACUGCAAGUUACCACAGCUUGAUGCAGAUGAGCCUGGUCCUGAGCUGUGUCUCUACCACAGGCUCCUCCCCGGAGCUCUCCCCCAUGACGCAAUCGGUCUCUGAGCCGUCCGAGACCGCCGUCGCGGCGGCAUCCUCCACCGGAAGCCAGAGGGAGAAGAGCCAGGGUGUUACUACGGAUGGCGAGGUCGAUUCUUCUGAGGCGCCAUCCAAGGAUGAGGUUGCCCAGCCUGCAGUGAUCAGCGUGAACCUCCAGCCCAGGGAAUCAGUUGUCCAGCAGGACAUAGUUGACAUGUACAUGAAGAGCAUGCAGCAGUUCACUGACUCCCUUGCGAAGAUGAAGCUCCCGCUGGAUGUCGAGAACAGUAGUCCCUCGGCUGAUAACGUCGACUCGAGUACAACAGAGAAGCCAUCGCCAUCGCCGUCGUCGAAGGGUCCUAGGGUCUUCUAUGGAAGCAGGGCCUUCUUCUAA
rnacentral:rRNA from 1 species